AAUGUUGGGGACUCCCGUGCUGUAUUGGGAAGACUAGUUAAGGCGACCGGAGAGGUUCUGGCUGUUCAGUUGUCAACAGAGCACAAUGCAAGCAUAGAGUCUGUGAGGCAAGAAUUGCAUUCAUUACACCCGGAUGAUCCUCAGAUUGUUGUUCUGAAGCAUAAUGUUUGGCGAGUAAAGGGACUCAUUCAGAUUUCUAGGUCAAUUGGCGAUGUAUACCUGAAGAAGGCAGAGUUUAAUCGCGAGCCACUAU
rnacentral:misc_RNA from 1 species